UUAAGCGACUAAGCGUACACGGUGGAUGCCCUGGCAGUCAGAGGCGAUGAAGGACGUGCUAAUCUGCGAAAAGCGUCGGUAAGGUGAUAUGAACCGUUAUAACCGGCGAUGUCCGAAUGGGGAAACCCAGUGCAAUUCGUUGCACUAUCGUUAACUGAAUACAUAGGUUAACGAGGCGAACCGGGGGAACUGAAACAUCUAAGUACCCCGAGGAAAAAAAAUCAACCGAGAUUCCCCCAGUAGCGGCGAGCGAACGGGGAGCAGCCCAGAGUCUGAAUCAGCUUGUGUGUUAGUGGAACGGUCUGGAAAGUCCGACGGUACAGGGUGAUAGUCCCGUACACCAAAAUGCACAGGCUGUGAACUCGAAGAGUAGGGCGGGACACGUGGUAUCCUGUCUGAAUAUGGGGGGACCAUCCUCCAAGGCUAAAUACUCCUGACUGACCGAUAGUGAACCAGUACCGUGAGGGAAAGGCGAAAAGAACCCCGGCGAGGGGAGUGAAAAAGAACCUGAAACCGUGUACGUACAAGCAGUGGGAGCACCUUCGGGUGUGACUGCGUACCUUUUGUAUAAUGGGUCAGCGACUUAUAUUCUGUAGCAAGGUUAACCGUAUAGGGGAGCCGCAGGGAAACCGAGUCUUAACUGGGCGUUAAGUUGCAGGGUAUAGACCCGAAACCCGGUGAUCUAGCCAUGGGCAGGUUGAAGGUUGGGUAACACUAACUGGAGGACCGAACCGACUAAUGUUGAAAAAUUAGCGGAUGACUUGUGGCUGGGGGUGAAAGGCCAAUCAAACCGGGAGAUAGCUGGUUCUCCCCGAAAGCUAUUUAGGUAGCGCCUCGUGAAUUCAUCUUCGGGGGUAGAGCACUGUUUCGGCUAGGGGGUCAUCCCGACUUACCAACCCGAUGCAAACUACGAAUACCGAAGAAUGUUAUCACGGGAGACACACGGCGGGUGCUAACGUCCGUCGUGAAGAGGGAAACAACCCAGACCGCCAGCUAAGGUCCCAAAGUCAUGGUUAAGUGGGAAACGAUGUGGGAAGGCACAGACAGCCAGGAUGUUGGCUUAGAAGCAGCCAUCAUUUAAAGAAAGCGUAAUAGCUCACUGGUCGAGUCGGCCUGCGCGGAAGAUGUAACGGGGCUAAACCAUGCACCGAAGCUGCGGCAGCGACGCUUAUGCGUUGUUGGGUAGGGGAGCGUUCUGUAAGCCUGCGAAGGUGUGCUGUGAGGCAUGCUGGAGGUAUCAGAAGUGCGAAUGCUGACAUAAGUAACGAUAAAGCGGGUGAAAAGCCCGCUCGCCGGAAGACCAAGGGUUCCUGUCCAACGUUAAUCGGGGCAGGGUGAGUCGACCCCUAAGGCGAGGCCGAAAGGCGUAGUCGAUGGGAAACAGGUUAAUAUUCCUGUACUUGGUGUUACUGCGAAGGGGGGACGGAGAAGGCUAUGUUAGCCGGGCGACGGUUGUCCCGGUUUAAGCAUGUAGGCUGGUUAUCCAGGCAAAUCCGGAUAAUCAAGGCUGAGGUGUGAUGACGAGGCACUACGGUGCUGAAGUAACAAAUGCCCUGCUUCCAGGAAAAGCCUCUAAGCAUCAGGUAACAUCAAAUCGUACCCCAAACCGACACAGGUGGUCAGGUAGAGAAUACCAAGGCGCUUGAGAGAACUCGGGUGAAGGAACUAGGCAAAAUGGUGCCGUAACUUCGGGAGAAGGCACGCUGGUGUGUAGGUGAAGUCCCUGCGGAUGGAGCUGAGACCAGUCGAAGAUACCAGCUGGCUGCAACUGUUUAUUAAAAACACAGCACUGUGCAAACACGAAAGUGGACGUAUACGGUGUGACGCCUGCCCGGUGCCGGAAGGUUAAUUGAUGGGGUUAUCCGUAAGGAGAAGCUCUUGAUCGAAGCCCCGGUAAACGGCGGCCGUAACUAUAACGGUCCUAAGGUAGCGAAAUUCCUUGUCGGGUAAGUUCCGACCUGCACGAAUGGCGUAAUGAUGGCCAGGCUGUCUCCACCCGAGACUCAGUGAAAUUGAACUCGCUGUGAAGAUGCAGUGUACCCGCGGCAAGACGGAAAGACCCCGUGAACCUUUACUAUAGCUUGACACUGAACAUUGAGCCUUGAUGUGUAGGAUAGGUGGGAGGCUUUGAAGCGUGGACGCCAGUCUGCGUGGAGCCAACCUUGAAAUACCACCCUUUAAUGUUUGAUGUUCUAACGUUGGCCCCUGACCGGGGUUGCGGACAGUGUCUGGUGGGUAGUUUGACUGGGGCGGUCUCCUCCCAAAGCGUAACGGAGGAGCACGAAGGUUAGCUAAUCCUGGUCGGACAUCAGGAGGUUAGUGCAAUGGCAUAAGCUAGCUUGACUGCGAGCGUGACGGCGCGAGCAGGUGCGAAAGCAGGUCAUAGUGAUCCGGUGGUUCUGAAUGGAAGGGCCAUCGCUCAACGGAUAAAAGGUACUCCGGGGAUAACAGGCUGAUACCGCCCAAGAGUUCAUAUCGACGGCGGUGUUUGGCACCUCGAUGUCGGCUCAUCACAUCCUGGGGCUGAAGUAGGUCCCAAGGGUAUGGCUGUUCGCCAUUUAAAGUGGUACGCGAGCUGGGUUUAGAACGUCGUGAGACAGUUCGGUCCCUAUCUGCCGUGGGCGCUGGAGAAUUGAGGGGGGCUGCUCCUAGUACGAGAGGACCGGAGUGGACGCAUCACUGGUGUUCGGGUUGUCAUGCCAAUGGCACUGCCCGGUAGCUAAAUGCGGAAGAGAUAAGUGCUGAAAGCAUCUAAGCACGAAACUUGCCCCGAGAUGAGUUCUCCCUGAGACUUUAAGUCUCCUGAAGGAACGUUGAAGACGACGACGUUGAUAGGCCGGGUGUGUAAGCGCAGCGAUGCGUUGAGCUAACCGGUACUAAUGAACCGUGAGGCUUAACCUU
rnacentral:rRNA from 1 species